GAAACUGGUUGGUUGAGUUUCUAGAUCGCGUAAUCGGGGACGAAGCAGCUGCAAGAGAAACUGCAGAUGAGAAUGAAUUCCUGACUAGUACAGUUGCAAGGGUGACCGGAGGCAAGGACAACUCUCCAAGUCUUGAAGGUUGCCACAUAAUUCACCUUGAAACAGAACAAAAUUCGUCUUAUUAGCAGACUGCAUGACAUCAAGCAAAGUAACAGAUGGAUCCAGGUUUCGCGAGAACAACUGUAUAAAAAGACUGUAAGACUAAAUGGUAGUAGUUCUGGUAUUUUUGUAGGAACAUCAGUUCUGAGGUAAAUGGAGAAUUAUUUUCUGUAUUUUUAUCGAGAAGCAAACCUUGUACAUUAAAAGCUGUAAUGUAUA